AUGCCGCAACUAAAAAAAAGAAAAAGAUCCUGCAUGCCACAACAAAGACCCCGCAUGCCACAACUAAGACCCAGUGCAGCCAAAAUAAAUAAAUAAAUAUAUUUUUUUAAUGAAAAAAAAAAUAAGGCACAGAGAAGUGCAGUGACGUGCCCCAUGUCACACAGCGAAAGUCAGGAAACUGGGAUUGCAACCCAGACUGCGACCCACCUCAAUAAUGGGCUCCAUAUCCUGACCUGCGUGCCCCCCAUCCUCCCUCUGCCCAAGCCCCAGCCUCCCACCGACCGGCUCCACACGGUUCCAGCCUAAGCAGGCUACUGGAAGGAGGCACUGCACUUCCUGCUCCUACAGUCUGGUGUGGUCCCCACUCCUGCCCUGAAACUCGACUCCAUGUUCCUCACUCACAGCCAAACCAGUAGGCAAACAGGCUCCCAUACUGUGUUUGUGGCCUCUGUGUCGCUCACCACUCAGUUACCACCCUCAAGGGCCCACUCGCCUGGUAUCCCGGAUGCUGCACUCACUGCUGGCCCUCUUGCUGGCCUUCGCACAGGCUGUUCCCGCUGCAACGCUCGUCCCCACCCUCUUGCUGGGGUCACUCCUCCUCAUCCAUUAGGUCUCAACUCACAUGUGCCCUCCCUCCUCCAGGAAGCCCUCCUUGACCCCGUAAGCUGCAUCAGAUGCCUUGUUAGGGUUGAAUAGCUGUGAGAGCCCCCCCAGUCACAAAUCUAAACCCAAUCUGCCCUGAGCUUCCCCCUCACAGCCCUCGUCCCUCUGCCUAGGCUUCCCCAAUCCCAGCCGGAACCGUUGUGAGCCAUUGUCUCACAAAUUGUCUCACAAAUUACCAUUGUCUGGUAAUUUGCCUCUCCUCCUCUGGACUGAGAGCAACAUGCGGGCAGAAACUAGGGCUAUUUCAGCCACUGCUGUGCCCCUAAACAUCGCCCACCUCAGGGUCAGGCUCAGAGGAGGCUUGGCUCAGAGGAGGAUGGAAGUUGGACAAACCCCCACCCAGGAAGAGAGCUGGGGUGUCACUCACGGAACAUGGCAUCCAGUCUGACCAGGCAGCUGAUGAAGUUGUCAAAAUCCAUGUUCCCUCCCU